UCAAGUUCUGCUAAUUGGAUUUUAUGGAAAACACAGAGGGCAGAAUACAGACUGAAACACUAAUGGAAGCAUCAAUUACAGGCUUUCCUGGAUCCUGAGAUGCAAAUGUGUGCCCAGGCUCAGUGGCAUGUUUGUUUGUGCCUCCCUAGACACAUGGCAACACAGUUUAUAGGUGAGGCCACACACGGCUGUCUGUGCAGUGGGAUGUGUGCUGGGACAACCACUGUCACUGGCAAGAAGGAGGCUGUAAGAACUUCCUAGUGUGCUUGCCUCGGCAGUCUCUGCCUUUCUUCCUUGUCGGCUAGAACCAAGAGAACUCACAGAUCAAGGCAAGGACCAAAGAUGCCUGGGUCCAUGAGUGCCUCAGCAGAGCAGAGCGGCCGGGAUCCUCCACUCACCCGGAGAUGAACAGGAAGUGAGUGCCCUCUGCUAAGCCUCUGCUGUUUGCAGUUUUUUAAAACAGGGUCUCUAAGGCUGGUCUUUACCUCAGUAUGUAGGGAAGGAUGAACUUGACCUCCUAAUCAUCCUGCCUCCAACUCCACAGUGCUAGGACUACAGGCGUGUACCCCACAGAGGCGGAGGCAAGAGGACUACUUCAAGUUCAAGGCCAUCCUGUGCUGUGGUGAGGCUAACCUGGGCUGUGGAAUGAAUGUCUAUAAACAUUAACCAACCAACCAACCAAACAACCAGCCAGCCAGCCAGCCAGCCAGCCAGCCAGCCAGCCAGCCAGCCAGCCAGCCAGCCAACCAAACAAACAAACAAUAAAAAUGUAGUUUUUCUAAGACUGUCAAGAUCGUUUAGAUAAAGACACUUGCCACACCAUGCUUGAUGAUCUAAGUUCCAUCGUUGAAUCUAUGUAGCAGGAGAAGAAAACCAAUGCCUAAAAGUUACCCUCCACAUGCACGUUAUUUCAUGUGCACAGCUACAAAUACAAAUGUAGUUGGUGUGACACCUCCAAGAAUUUUAUUAACAAGCAAAAAAGACUUUACAGAGAACCUCAGCAAAUUUGGGUGGUGACAGAAGGAUGUUGUUUGAACAGAUCCACUUUUUGCCACUGUCUUACUGAGCAGAGAGGUGUGUCUGGCACGCCUAAAUAAACAAUUGAAGCAAA